GACAGAGGGUGCAAACGUUGUUCGGAAUUACUGGGCGUAAAGCGCGUGUAGGCUGCUCGGAAAGUCGGAUGUGAAAGCCCUGGGCUUAACCUAGGAAGUGCAUUCGAAACUUCCGAGCUGGAGUUCUGGAGAGGAAGGCGGAAUUCUCGGUGUAGAGGUGAAAUUCGUAGAUAUCGAGAGGAACACCGGUGGCGAAGGCGGCCUUCUGGACAGUAACUGACACUCAACUGCGAAAGCGUGGGGAGCAAACAGG
rnacentral:rRNA from 1 species